rnacentral:lncRNA from 1 species
AAUUUCAAACAUUAACUUAUCAAAGUAAUCAACUUCAUUAUCUUCUUCUAUUACUUUUGAUGAUUUUUUUUCAACUUUAUCAAAUCAGAUUUUUUUGAUUUCCAUUAUUGCAUGUCUCUAGUUCUUAAAAUUGUAACACCCCGUAUUCAAGUACACGUAUUGGCGUAUUCAAGUACGUGUAUUGGUCUUAUUUAUAUGGAAUUAAUUUU